rnacentral:misc_RNA from 1 species
CUGUGUUGCUUACCAACAAAACGGAAUUGCUGGUUUCGGUUUUCCCCGUCCGCCUUGUGCCCUUCCGGGUGCGGGGUGGACGCGAGGCGAGCUCCGUGUUCCCGGCGUGCCUCGCGCUCAGACGCUUGGCCGCCUCGGCCCACGAAGUCUCUGCCCGUUCUCUCGGAUGCGGAAUGCUGCGCAUGGACGUGAGGUCUCGGCCCCGAUCGUCCAAGCUACACGCAUCGUCUCUUGACGCGAACGACCGCCGCACCCGUCUUGGCCGACCGACCGAGGCCCCGAACGGGGCCCCGAGAGGGACGGGUCAUGCGGGCGCCGGCGUCGGGAAGGAAUGCUACCUGGUUGAUCCUGCCAGUAGUCAUAUG